GGGUUGUGAGGUUAAGCGACUAAGCGUACACGGUGGAUGCCUAGGCAGUCAGAGGCGAUGAAGGGCGUGCUAAUCUGCGAAAAGCGUCGGUAAGGUGAUAUGAACCGUUAUAACCGACGAUACCCGAAUGGGGAAACCCAGUGCAAUUCGUUGCACUAUUGCAUGGUGAAUACAUAGCCAUGCAAGGCGAACCGGGGGAACUGAAACAUCUAAGUACCCCGAGGAAAAGAAAUCAACCGAGAUUCCCCCAGUAGCGGCGAGCGAACGGGGAGGAGCCCAGAGUCUGAAUCAGUUUGUGUGUUAGUGGAAGCGUCUGGAAAGUCGCAGGGUACAGGGUGAUACUCCCGUACACAAAAACACACUUGCUGUGAACUCGAUGAGUAGGGCGGGACACGUGACAUCCUGUCUGAAUAUGGGGGGACCAUCCUCCAAGGCUAAAUACUCCUGACUGACCGAUAGUGAACCAGUACCGUGAGGGAAAGGCGAAAAGAACCCCGGCGAGGGGAGUGAAAUAGAACCUGAAACCGUGUACGUACAAGCAGUGGGAGCCUACUUUGUUGGGUGACUGCGUACCUUUUGUAUAAUGGGUCAGCGACUUAUAUUUUGUAGCAAGGUUAACCGAAUAGGGGAGCCGUAGGGAAACCGAGUCUUAACUGGGCGUCUAGUUGCAAGGUAUAGACCCGAAACCCGGUGAUCUAGCCAUGGGCAGGUUGAAGGUUGGGUAACACUAACUGGAGGACCGAACCGACUAAUGUUGAAAAAUUAGCGGAUGACUUGUGGCUGGGGGUGAAAGGCCAAUCAAACCGGGAGAUAGCUGGUUCUCCCCGAAAGCUAUUUAGGUAGCGCCUCGUGAACUCAUCUUCGGGGGUAGAGCACUGUUUCGGCUAGGGGGCCAUCCCGGCUUACCAAACCGAUGCAAACUCCGAAUACCGAAGAAUGUUAUCACGGGAGACACACGGCGGGUGCUAACGUCCGUCGUGAAGAGGGAAACAACCCAGACCGCCAGCUAAGGUCCCAAAGUCAUGGUUAAGUGGGAAACGAUGUGGGAAGGCAUAGACAGCCAGGAUGUUGGCUUAGAAGCAGCCAUCAUUUAAAGAAAGCGUAAUAGCUCACUGGUCGAGUCGGCCUGCGCGGAAGAUGUAACGGGGCUAAACCAUGCACCGAAGCUGCGGCAGCGACGCUUAGGCGUUGUUGGGUAGGGGAGCGUUCUGUAAGCCGUUGAAGGUGACCUGUGAGGGUUGCUGGAGGUAUCAGAAGUGCGAAUGCUGACAUAAGUAACGAUAAUGCGGGUGAAAAACCCGCACGCCGGAAGACCAAGGGUUCCUGUCCAACGUUAAUCGGGGCAGGGUGAGUCGACCCCUAAGGCGAGGCUGAAAAGCGUAGUCGAUGGGAAACAGGUUAAUAUUCCUGUACUUGGUGUUACUGCGAAGGGGGGACGGAGAAGGCUAGGCUAGCCGGGCGACGGUUGUCCCGGUUUAAGCAUGUAGGCGGAGCGACUUGGUAAAUCCGGUUGCUUAUCAACGCUGAGGUGUGAUGACGAGUCACUACGGUGAUGAAGUAGUUGAUGCCAAGCUUCCAGGAAAAGCCUCUAAGCAUCAGGUAACAUUAAAUCGUACCCCAAACCGACACAGGUGGUCAGGUAGAGAAUACUCAGGCGCUUGAGAGAACUCGGGUGAAGGAACUAGGCAAAAUGGUGCCGUAACUUCGGGAGAAGGCACGCUGGCAUUAGGUAAAGGGACUUGCUCCCGGCGCCGAAGCCAGUCGCAGAUACCAGCUGGCUGCAACUGUUUAAUAAAAACACAGCACUGUGCAAACACGAAAGUGGACGUAUACGGUGUGACGCCUGCCCGGUGCUGGAAGGUUAAUUGAUGGGGUCAGCCGCAAGGCGAAGCUCUUGAUCGAAGCCCCAGUAAACGGCGGCCGUAACUAUAACGGUCCUAAGGUAGCGAAAUUCCUUGUCGGGUAAGUUCCGACCUGCACGAAUGGCGUAAUGAUGGCCAGGCUGUCUCCACCCGAGACUCAGUGAAAUUGAACUCGCUGUGAAGAUGCAGUGUACCCGCGGCAAGACGGAAAGACCCCGUGAACCUUUACUAUAGCUUGACACUGAACAUUGAGCCUUGAUGUGUAGGAUAGGUGGGAGGCAUUGAAGUGUGGACGCCAGUCUGCAUGGAGCCAACCUUGAAAUACCACCCUUUAAUGUUUGAUGUUCUAACUCGGCCCCGUAAUCCGGGGUGAGGACAGUGUCUGGUGGGUAGUUUGACUGGGGCGGUCUCCUCCCAAAGAGUAACGGAGGAGCACGAAGGUUAGCUAAUCACGGUCGGACAUCGUGAGGUUAGUGCAAAGGCAUAAGCUAGCUUGACUGCGAGAGUGACGGCUCGAGCAGGUACGAAAGUAGGUCUUAGUGAUCCGGUGGUUCUGAAUGGAAGGGCCAUCGCUCAACGGAUAAAAGGUACUCCGGGGAUAACAGGCUGAUACCGCCCAAGAGUUCAUAUCGACGGCGGUGUUUGGCACCUCGAUGUCGGCUCAUCACAUCCUGGGGCUGAAGUAGGUCCCAAGGGUAUGGCUGUUCGCCAUUUAAAGUGGUACGCGAGCUGGGUUUAGAACGUCGUGAGACAGUUCGGUCCCUAUCUGCCGUGGGCGUUGGAAGAUUGAGAGGGGCUGCUCCUAGUACGAGAGGACCGGAGUGGACGAAUCACUGGUGUUCGGGUUGUCAUGCCAAUGGCAUUGCCCGGUAGCUAAAUUCGGAAGAGAUAACCGCUGAAAGCAUCUAAGCGGGAAACUUGCCUCGAGAUGAGUCUUCCCUGGGGCUUUAAGCCCCCUGAAGGAACGUUAAAGACUAUGACGUUGAUAGGCUGGGUGUGUAAGUGCAGCGAUGCAUUGAGCUAACCAGUACUAAUGAUCCGUGAGGCUUAACCUUACAACACCAAAGGUGUUUUG
rnacentral:rRNA from 1 species